rnacentral:rRNA from 1 species
AGCGAACGUUAGCGGCGGGCCUAACACAUGCAAGUCGAACGAGAAUGAGGGGGCAACUCCUCUAGUAAAGUGGCGGACGGGUGCGUAACACGUUGGUAAUCUACCUUCCGGCGGGGGACGAACAGUCCGAAAGGAUUGCUAAUACCGCAUACGUCGACGAGGUCUCCGGAUCUUGUCGGGAAAGAACGGCCUCUCCUUGGAAGCUGUCACCGGAAGAUGAACCUGCGGCCCAUCAGCUAGUUGGUGAGGUAACGGCUCACCAAGGCGAAGACGGGUAGGCUGGUCUGAGAGGAUGAUCAGCCACACUGGGACUGCGACACGGCCCACGACUCCUACGGGAGGCAGCAGUGGGGAAUAUUGGGCAAUGGGCGCAAGCCUGACCCAGCCACGCCGCGUGAGUGAU